rnacentral:lncRNA from 1 species
UCCACCCAUUGAGAGAGAGAGCCAUUGUUGUCUUGCAUAUCAAGUGGAAAACCAUUCCUCAUAUUUGUCUUGGAUAUUCUUGUGAAAGCCAUACCUCUUAUCAAGUGGAAAACCAUUCUCCAUUUUUGGUCUUAGAUAAAUUCUUGUGAAAGCCAAUACUUCAAGAAGGACAUUCUUCAAGAAGGAUCAAGGAGCUUUCAAAGCCAAACGUUUGGACAAUCAUCAAAAGGACUAAGGAUUUCCACUUAUGGAUUCAGGUACGCUUCCGCUUAUGUUGUUAUUCCAAACAAUUCGAUAUGAA